UAACAAGGUUUCCGUAGGUGAACCUGCGGAAGGAUCAUUACAGAGUUCAUGCCCGAAAGGG
rnacentral:rRNA from 1 species